rnacentral:rRNA from 1 species
AGUGAACGCUGGCGGUAGGCCUAACACAUGCAAGUCGAACGGCAGCACAGUAAGAGCUUGCUCUUACGGGUGGCGAGUGGCGGACGGGUGAGGAAUACAUCGGAAUCUACUUUUUCGUGGGGGAUAACGUAGCGAAACUUACGCUAAUACCGCAUACGACCUACGGGUGAAAGCAGGGGAUCUUCGGACCUUGCGCGAUUGAAUGAGCCGAUGUCGGAUUAGCUAGUUGGCGGGGUAAAGGCCCACCAAGGCGACGAUCCGUAGCUGGUCUGAGAGGAUGAUCAGCCACACUGGAACUGAGACACGGUCCAGACUCCUACGGGAGGCAGCAGUGGGGAAUAUUGGACAAAGGGCGCAAGCCUGAUCCAGCCAUACCGCGUGGGUGAAGAAGGCCUUCGGGUUGUAAAGCCCUUUUGUUGGGAAAGAAAAGCAGCAGGUUAAUACCCCGCUGUUCUGACGGUACCCAAAGAAUAAGCACCGGCUAACUUCGUG